AAGAUCAUACUUUUAGGGAUCAUUUCUAUAGUAUGUAUCGCCAGGACAUCAGGUAAAACUGAUCCUGGACAACAAACCACGAUGACGAGUCAAAGUGGU